rnacentral:snoRNA from 1 species
AAGCAGAUGAUGAAUUACUCGGAUUCCCCUUCAAGACUUCACGGGUGAUGUAAAAACCGAGUUUCUGAUGCA